CCUACGUGGAAAGGUCUGUAUUGUCAUCUAACAAAUGGUUUGUGAGAUCCAUGGUAUAACAAUGUUGGGAACCUCUCUGCACAGAUUGUUAAUCCCUGAACAGUAGGGAUAGUUCUGGUUUGUUAUUUUAAAAUAGAGCCAUAAUCACUACAGCCCACCAUCAGGAGGGUCUUGGAGCCAUCGCAUGGUAAGGAUUUAAACCAUUUUAG